AUGGCGACCAAGGCGGCGCGUUCCCGGCCGUUCUUGAUAAUCAUGGACAUGGUGAAAAACUACGACCUCCUGGAAGACCCAGGAUCGCUUGGCUUGGAAGUCGUGGAGUGCAAGAGGAGUGCCGUCGGCUGCGGGCCGACUGGCGCGCUCGUCUUGGAGGGCGUCUCGCUCUACUUGGUCCGCGGCGGCGACGACGACGACCUGGAGCGCUACCCCCGGAUGUGUGUCCGCGUGUCCGACCAGGCGUUCGACCUCGUCAGCGCGGAGAUCGACGACAGGACGGCGGACAUCUGGGGAAGGAAUCUCCACAUGGGCUGCCGCGUCUUCUCCAUGCAAGGGGAUGUCAUGGUCAUCAGCCUGGUGUUCAUCGCCAACCACGAUCCCAGACCUUUCCGGGCGUACUACCUCGUCUACGACUCUGCCACCACGUCUCUCUUCAUGAUCCCGUACCCGGCUACGGAUUGCCUAACCAUCGGCAAGCCGUGCCCUCUCCCGGUGCGCCGCCCAGACGACGGCCGCUACACUCUGGCCUUCCUGAAUCACGAGCCGGAUGCGCUCUGCCUGUGGUCACUGCCGCCUCUGCCUGACAACAUGAAGCCUCCGGCACUGCCGCUUCCGCAGAACGACAUGGAUCCGUGGGUGGCCAAGAGCCGUCGGCCUACCAUUUCCGACCGCUUGGAUGUGCACGUGGUCUUUUCGUCCAAGGACUAUGCUUUCUGGGUGGAUCUCAAGCAAGGUAUCCUGUAUUGCAGCAUCAGUGAUAUGCUCAAUGGUGAAGAGCCCGUGGACUUCAAGUAUAUCCCGUUGCCCAAGGAGUGCAGCAUGCCCACCGACAUAAUGGACGCGGCGCAUGUGCACCGCAAUAUGGGCUUGGACGGGGACUCCACCAUCUGGUUCGUUGCCAUCGAACCAUCAGAAAACAGUGUCAGGCACACCAAUGUGAAGGUUUGGACUCUGGACCUCACACAGCUCAUGUCCAAGAAGAAGACUAAGAAGUGGCAAAAACUCAGGGAGUUCAAAAUGCAAAGCAUCUGGCGGCUGUAUGCGUUCCGGAAGAAGGGGCUGCCGAGGACCGAACCCAGGUUUCCCGUCUGGAGGCAAGAGCGCGACGGUGGCAUACUUUACAUGCUGCUGCCUAGGCUCAACGACAGGCAUGGCUACCUUGUUGGCAUUCACAUCGGGUGCAGCACAAGUAAGAUGCGUCUUCUGCCGUACAGAUCUCUCUCCAUUCCAUGGAUCAACCACCCUGUUGUGUUGCCUUCUGAUUUCUUCACUCUGGGGGACACAGUCGUUUGA
rnacentral:rRNA from 1 species